CUGCAAAGGCCUGGCCACGGGAGAGGGAAGAAAGGAAACGGAUUUGGUCAUUAAGGUCACGUAUAUUUUCUUUCUCCAUUAAAAAUUGAACCAAACUUCAUACAAUCGCCAAAAAUUCAUCUGAUGUACAAAGUAAACAUAUUGGUAGCAAAAUAGAAUCAUCUUGAUGAGCUCUACGUAGUGGUGGUCUCUGAUCAUCCAUCCGAGCCACCAUUCAAAAAGUAAUUUUUUGGCCUCUUUCCAAGCACCCGGUCAACUACUUCUAUAAGAAUUUCC
rnacentral:lncRNA from 1 species